GACGAACGCUGGCGGCGUGCUUAACACAUGCAAGUCGAACGAUGAAGCCGGAGCUUGCUCUGGUGAAUUAGUGGCGAACGGGUGAGUAACACGUGAGUAACCUGCCCUUGACUCUGGGCUAACUGCUAGAAAUGGUAGCUAAUACCGGAUACGACCCUCGGCGGCAUCGCCCGGGUGUGGAACGAAUUUCGGUCAAGGAUGGACUCGCGGCCUAUCAGCUAGUUGGUGAGGUAACGGCUCACAAAGGCGACGACGGGUAGCCGGCCUGAGAGGGUGACCGGCCACACUGGGACUGAGACACGGCCCAGACUCCUACGGGAGGCAGCAGUGGGGAAUAUUGCACAAUGGGCGCAAGCCUGAUGCAGCAACGCCGCGUGAGGGAUGACGGCCAUCGGGUUGUGAACCUCUUUUAGUAGGGAAGAAGCGAAAGUGACGGUACCUGCAGAAAAAGCACCGGCUAACUACGUGCCAGCCGCCGCCGUAA
rnacentral:rRNA from 1 species